rnacentral:rRNA from 1 species
AUUGAACGCUGGCGGCAGGCCUAACACAUGCAAGUCGAACGAGUGGCGGACGGGUGAGUAAUGUCUGGGAAACUGCCUGAUGGAGGGGGAUAACUACUGGAAACGGUAGCUCAUACCGCAUACCAUCGGAUGUGCCCAGAUGGGAUUAGCUAGUAGGUGGGGUAAAGGCUCCCCUAGGCGACGAUCCCUAGCUGGUCUGAGAGGAUGACCAUCGGGACUGGGACUAGGCAACGGUCCAGACGCCGACGGGAGGCAGCAGUGGGGAAUAUUGCACAAUGGGCGCAAGCCGGAUGCAGCCAUGCCGCGUGUAUGAAGAAGGCCUUAGGGUUGUAAAGUACUUUCAGCGGGGAGGCGUUACCCGGAGAAGAAGCACCGGCUAACUCCGUGCCAGGAGCCGCGGUAAUAC